GAUGAACGCUGGCGGCGUGCCUAAUACAUGCAAGUCGAGCGAACAGACGAGGAGCUUGCUCCUUCGACGUUAGCGGCGGACGGGUGAGUAACACGUAGGUAACCUACCUAUAAGACUGGGAUAACUUCGGGAAACCGGAGCUAAUACCGGAUAAUAUUUCGAACCGCAUGGUUCGAUAGUGAAAGAUGGCUUUGCUAUCACUUAUAGAUGGACCUGCGCCGUAUUAGCUAGUUGGUAAGGUAACGGCUUACCAAGGCAACGAUACGUAGCCGACCUGAGAGGGUGAUCGGCCACACUGGAACUGAGACACGGUCCAGACUCCUACGGGAGGCAGCAGUAGGGAAUCUUCCGCAAUGGGCGAAAGCCUGACGGAGCAACGCCGCGUGAGUGAUGAAGGUCUUCGGAUCGUAAAACUCUGUUAUUAGGGAAGAACAAACUUGUAAGUAACUGUGCACGUCUUGACGGUACCUAAUCAGAAAGCCACGGCUAACUACGUG
rnacentral:rRNA from 1 species